rnacentral:tRNA from 3 species
GCCGACUUAGCUCAGUUGGUAGAGCACCUGAUUUGUAAUCAGGGGGUCGGGCGUUCGAAUCGUCUAGUCGGCACCA